rnacentral:lncRNA from 1 species
CAGACACGUCUCAUCAGAGCUCCGGGCACUGACCACAAACCUCAUCAAAUUCCAGGGUACUCUGCAGCCAUCGGACCCCUUACAGGCACUCAUCAUACUCCUGAAGGGGUGAGCUGCAGACACGUGCCUUUCUUGUACUUGAAAUCAGGCAAGAAGGCUUGCUGCAAAUCCGUGGCCUACCUAGGGUAUUCAACCAAGCGGCCCGCCAAACAGGACCUCAAGGCAGAGUUAGCAGAGCUAUACAUCCUGCCCUGGCUGCCUUGCAGCCCUACACAGCGCACAGACAUCAUGGGACGCAGAUCCCUGAAACCUCUGCCUGGCUCCAGCAAAGACUCCCAAGACAUAGGGGAGAUGCUGCAGCGCCCAGCGGAUCCCAAGAUGGCGGACUGGUCAGACAAUGGAAUGCACGUGACAGAAUCCCAAGCUGACCCAACAACACCUGGAGAUGGCAUCUCCCCCACGACACUAAUUGAGGAAAUGGAAGACCAAGACACACUAGCCCCUGCCACCAAACAAGACAGGGAGCUCUGACAGAUGUCAGCGGCCGAUCUAGACGUGGUCCGCACCGAAAUGCAUGCGGUGAAAAUGCGCACACAGACUACAGAGGGCGAAGUCCUGGAACUCAAGCAAGAGGUACAAGGGUUGAAAGACCAAAUGCAAAGCCUACAACACUCACAUACUUCCCUAACACAGAGGGUAAAUAUCAUGCAAUAGACAUGCCAAUAUCAAAAUCGAAGUAUCCUGGAUUCAAUAAGCCAGGCUGAACUGCCACACUACUUAAGGCGACUGACAGAAUCACUCAUGCCUCACUCACAGGCUAAAAAACUUGACAGCUGCUACAGAAUCAAUAAAUGCAGACAGGCCCCAUCCGAUGCCACCCACGACAUAAUUGUGCGCUCUCAUUCCGUGUCGGACAGGAACCACUUCCUGGCUGCAGUGAAGGGCAAAACUCCCUUGGACUUUGAUGCUUCCAAAGUGACAUUUUUUCAGGAUCUUACCAGAAAUACCCUACAAUGGCGGAAGUCCCUAAGCGCAUUCACAAGUCGACUGAGAGAAGCUGGAGUGGAAUAUCGAUGGAUUCUACCGAGAGCCCUUACGGCUACAACAGUGGAUGGCAGAAUUCUAAGACUCACCACCAUACUGGAUUCUUCAAACACUGGGACUAAACCCACAUGCAGAUGAGCCUAAUACCUCCUCCACCACCCAUUCCUGGGAUCUACGCCGAACAAAGUCCUUCGCGCCUGUGGAGAGAGAGAAGCCGGUUGCAGCGACUUGACCAUCCACUAUGCCUAACACUAUUUUGUUUACUUUAUUUCUGUUCAGCAUUCCUACCAUUGAUUUACUUUCACCCUUUUUUCUUAUGCCUCACACUCAGUAGAGUACCGUUAGGCCUACAUAAGCCUAAUCUACUUCAAAAGUCAAUGCCCGCAGAUGGCUCAUAAUAGUCACGAUAGUGCCCGAACCCACAAGACGGUUCGCUAUCUCCCCCCCCUAUAUGUCCCCUAUAGGUUAGGGGUCAUUCAUCCACAAGUUAAAAUGAUUGGUACCUAUAUCACCAACAACGGUGUCACUUAUAAUCACGCCCGACACACCAACCCGAGAAUAAGACACGCUAUACGGAGGACAGGUUGGCCUGGUGUUAGACUAGUCUGUUAUAGCAGAUGACACAGCACACCACCCACAUUUGAGGUACCUACACCUAACUAGAACAACAAUCACCGAUCAUACUGCACAACCACAACAGACACACACAGGCAAAAAAAGUAAAAGAAGCAUGCUAAAGUUGAAUGCUUACAAUUGUUAAGGUUAUACUUCAAUGUCCCAUUUCAACUUACAAUGUGAAUCCUAUGUGUUUGUAAACCUGCCUCAAUAAAACAUUAUUGACAAACAAAAGUGCAAACAUUAAAAGGUAUAAAAAUAUUGAAUAAUUUGACUUGAUUGGAGAUAACAUUGGAAAAGCAAGAAAAUGUAGAAAAGUGGUUUAUAGCAUCAUCUAUAAAAUGAAAUGAAAGAACAGUGCUUUUGUUUAUGAACAAUGCAAAACGUGUAUUUAUUUCUUAUUCUUUAAAGUGAAACUGUAAUGGCUAACUUAAAUUCAAUAAAAU